GACGAACGCUGGCGGCGUGCCUAAUACAUGCAAGUCGAACGCAGUGGGGCCGGGUGAGUAACACGUGGGUAACCUCCCAUCAAAGGGGAUAACACUUGGAAACAGGUGCUAAACCGAUACUGCUGGAUGGACCCGCGGUGCAUUAGCUAGUUGGUGAGGUAACGGCUCACCAAGGCCACGAAGCAUUCCCGACCUGAGAGGGUGAUAGGCCAACCUGGGAUGGAGACACGGGAAAGACUCCACGGGUAGGCAGCAGUAGCGAAUCUUCGGUAAUGGACGAAAGUCUGACGGAGCAAGGCCGCGUGAUUGAAGAAGGUUUUAGGAUGGUAAAACUCUGUUGUGAGAGAAGCGGUAUCUAACCAGAAAGCCACGGCUAUCUACGUGCAAGCAGCCGCGGUAAUUC
rnacentral:rRNA from 1 species